rnacentral:rRNA from 1 species
AGAGUUUGAUCCUGGCUCAGAUUGAACGCUGGCGGCAUGCCUUACACAUGCAAUUAGAGUUUGAUCCUGGCUCAGAACGAACGCUGGCGGCAGGCUUAACACAUGCAAGUCGAGCGCCCCGCAAGGGGAGCGGCAGACGGGUGAGUAACGCGUGGGAAUCUUCCGAGCCCCUGCGGAAUAGCUCCGGGAAACUGGAAUUAAUACCGCAUACGCCCUACGGGGGAAAGAUUUAUCGGGGUUUGAUGAGCCCGCGUUGGAUUACCUAGUUGGUGGGGUAAAGGCCUACCAAGGGGACGACCCAUACCUGGUUGAGAGGAUGAUCACCCACAUUGGGAGCUGAGACACGGCCCAAACUCCUACGGAGGCAGCAGUGGGGAAUAUUGGACAAUGGGCGCAAGCAUGAUCCAGCCAUGCCGCGUGAGUGAUGAAGGCCCUAGGGUUGUAAAGCUCUCUCAACGGUGAAGAUAAUGACGGAACCGAGAAAA